AACCUUCUUGGCCAUGUAAGCUUGAAGUGGUUUCUUGAUACCUUAGUUUCCUUAUAUAAUUUGUUUGUCCAAGUCAAACCUGAAGAAUUAUGAAACUUAAAAUGAAAACUAGUUCGUGCAUAUACUCAAUGUAAUUGAACUAUAGUUGAAAGUAAACUCCAGACCAACACUCAUACCCUCCCAAAUAAUCAUGUAAAAGGUUUUGAAAGCAUCAUAUAGAAACAUGAAAGUUUGCUUUAAGUUUUAUCAUCCAUUGAAACUCCCAUAUGUUUGAAUAGAAGAUUUGAGUAGGGAAUGAACUCACUCUCAAUAUUCCUAUUUGUGAUUUCAGGCGUGGAGAUUAUGGAAUGAAGAAAGGCCACUGGAGUUAAUGGAUGAGAUGUUAGAUGAUGGUGGAGACUUAUCUUUAGAAAUACUGCGGUAUAUUCAUGUGGGUCUGUUGUGUGUACAACAGAAUCCAGAAAAUAGGCCUAAUAUGUCCUCUAUUGUUCUAAUGUUAAAUGGUGAGAAGUUGCUACCGAAACCAAGCCAGCCUGGAUUCUAUAUAGGAAAAGAUAAUAUUGCUGACACUGAAUCUUCAAAGCAAUAUGAAAGGUGUUCAAUAAAUGAAGUUUCAAUUUCAUCCUUAGAUGCGCGAUAGAACAUGUUUCAAGUAAUGAUAUAUAGGAUGUCAUGUUGGUCAACAAAAUCUCAUUGGGACCACACAGUUUUUUCAAUGAUGUAACUUUGUUUGCGCAUGCCUUUUUUUACCUUCGAAGACUUUGAUGUAUGCCUCGUAGUGAUGGAGAUGUUAGUAGGUAGUGGUGUGUGUAACAUAGAAGACGACACACACUGCAUAAUUGAACUUUGUAAUUAUGUGUUUGUUUCAUUGAUAAAUAUCAUAGACCUUAAAUAAUAGUAGGAAUAGUGAUAAAUAUAGUAACCCUAAGUUUUAAGAGCAUAAAAUCACUAAUAAUGAUAGACUCAAUGACAAAAUUAAUCAAAUCAAAUUGCGACAAUAACUAAAAACCGUAACAUGGUAAUCAUGUAUCAAAUAAAUUAUGAUUCAAAUAAAAUUACUAAUAAACACCUUAGAUUUAAGUUUAUUCAACAAAACUCUUUUAUAAACUUAAAUCUUUCCAUCCUUCAUUAAUUCUUGCACUCCAACUUUCCUUGUGUAUCAUCCCACAUUAGGUUUGUUUCUUCCAUUAAGAGUUGGAUUUUUCAUUUUCUUCAUAUUUGUCGUAUUUUCUUUCACCUUAAUUGACUUUAUGAUGUUUUUACUUACUUGUUUUUCAUUAUGGUUGACCUCUUAUUCACCUUGACCAACAUGACUAACCUCUUCUUUGCUUUGACAGACUUAUUUUUUGCUCUGUCCGACUUCUCAAUAAUGAUGGAGAAGCUCCUUCAACAUUGUUGAUGAAACUCCUUGAUGAAGAGAUGACGUAGCGGAAGCAUGAAGAAGAAGUGUUGAGAUGGCUUGAUGUUGCGAAUUGAUGAAGCAUUCUUAAAGGAAGUUGGGCCAACCUUGAAGGAAAAGGAAGAAAAAGCCUAGAAAAAAGACUACUCCAAUGAGAACUUAGGAAGAGAGGCUUGC
rnacentral:lncRNA from 1 species